rnacentral:rRNA from 1 species
UUUGCGAACUGCUCAGUAACACGUGGAUAACCUGCCCUAUGCUCUGGAAUAACCUCGGGAAACUGAGAAUAAUACCGGAUAGAUCACAACGCCUGGAACGGUGUGUGGUUGAAAGAUUACGGCAUAGGAUGGGUCUGCGGCGUAUCAGGUUGUAGGGGGUGUAACGGACCUCCUAGCCAUCGACGCGUACGGGUGUUGGGAGACAUAGCCCGGAGAUGGAUUCUGAGACACGAAUCCAGACCCUACGGGGUGCAGCAGGCGCGAAAACUUCACACUGCAGGAAACUGUGAUGAGGGAACUCCAAGUGCGUGCACUUAGUGUGCGCUUUUCUUGACUAUUAAUCGGUCAUGGAAUAAGGGCUGGGAAAGACCGGUGCCAGCCGCCGCGGUAAUACCGGCAGCUCAAGUGGUCGUCGCUUUUAUUGGGCCUAAAACGUCCGUAGCCUGUUUGGUAAAUCUGUGGGUAAAUCAACCAGCUUAACUGGUUGAAUUCUGCAGAGACUGCCAGACUAGGGACCGGGAGAGGUGUGGGGUACUCUAGGGGUAGGGGUAAAAUCCUGUCAUCCUUAGAGGACCACCAGUUGCGAAGGCGCCACACUGGAACGGAUUCGACGGUCAGGGACGAAGCCUAGGGGCACGAACCGGAUUAGAUACCCGGGUAGUCCUAGGUGUAAACGCUGUGAACUUGGUGUCGGGGAUCCGUCAUGGGUCCCCGGUGCCGGAGUGAAGAUGUUAAGUUCACUGCUGGGGAGUACGGUCGCAAGGCUGAAACUUAAAGGAAUUGGCGGGGGAGCACUGCGACCGGAGGAGCGUGCGGUUUAAUU